rnacentral:tRNA from 1 species
GGGCAGAUGCCCGAGCGGCUAAAGGGGGUGGGCUGUAAACCCACUGGCGUAAUGUCUACAGUGGUUCGAAUCCACUUCUGCCCACCA